UGAGCAUCCAAACCAGAUGUUUACCUUCCUUGCAAAUGGCCAGCGAUAGCAUUAGUCACACACCUGAGCUGCAUCAGGUGAUAGUAAUAUUAGGAUAACUAAGAACAAGACUCAUGGAGUUGCUUUGGGGAUUAAAAAAAAAAAAAAGGCAGAUUAAAUUUUUCUCUCAAAUUGCAAUUAAAAAAAAAUUAUUGCUCCUCUUUUUUUCUUUUUUACAUUUUCUCCUCUUCCUUGCACCCAGGAGCUUAGCACACAGCUCUUGACUUCAACUUUUUAGCUUGGCCAUGUUUUUUUGUAUCUGCUAAGCCUCUUCCAGCAGUCAAUAGAAAAGCUCCCCAAGAAGCCAGCAGGCCUCGGGUGCGUCCCGCUGCCCUCCUCCGAGCUGGCCCUACACACAAAAGUGGAAAGCUGUUGGGGUCGCGUGGUGACAGGCAGCAGUGCCAAUGUUUGGAGAAGACAGACAGACAGCACAGGCAAUUCCUGAGCCCCAGAACCUGUGCUAACACCAGGAGACUGCUUGGACACCAUAAUUCCUGGGGUGACCCUUAGAGAGUGUUUUGGAUUCCCACUACAGGAACUUUAAGCCCGUGCAGGAUGUCCCGGGUGAAAGAGAGCGGAGAGAGGUGGGGACAGCUGCGGCAGCUCCAGCCAAAAUCCUCGGUGGGAUGCAAGAUGCUCGUCUCUCCUUGGAGCAUGAAAAAUCCCAGCUGUGGCUCUGCAGAGCCUUUUGUUACCCAUCUCAGCCGUAGAAAUCCUUCAGCCAUGUUUAUAAAGAGAUAGCACGGGGUCAAUGGAAUAAGCACGGCCUCUUUUCUUCCAGCCCUCUUGAAAGCGUGCCCUUUUAAUGGCAAAAUGCAUGAAAAAUUAGAUAGCUGGCUGUAUCACCUUCCUGAGGGAUAGGUACAGCAAACCCAGGGUUUUACAAACAAAGAAUUACACAAGUUCCUGCAUUAAACGUCUUUUUUGCCUUUCAAAUUCACUCCCUUGGCUGCACAUUUGUAGUCAUCAGCCCCACAAGGCUCCAGGCAGAUGGAGGUGAGGCUUCAGGAACACCCCGCACUCCCAUCCACCCCUGGCUGGUCCUCACCUAAAUCCCACUAAAUCCCACUCAGGGACCCAGUCAGGGAGCACAGAGCCACUGUCAUGGACCUGUGGCAUUUUGGGCUGAGUCACCCCAUUGAGACAGACAGACUAUAGGUAGCUUUGCUGUCAUCUUCUCACCAUUUCAAACAGAAAGUGGCUGGAACAGGUUUGAGACAGCGUUUGAAGCUUGCAAAAGAUUGAGAGAAAAGACAACAGUAAACUCUUUUUUUUUUU